UACGUAGGGGGCAAGCGUUGUCCGGAUUUAUUGGGCGUAAAGCGCGUGUAGGCGGCCAGGUAGGUCGGUUGUGAAAACUGGAGGCUCAACCUCCAGACGUCGACCGAAACCAUCUGGCUAGAGUCCGGAAGAGGAGAGUGGAAUUCCUGGUGUAGCGGUGAAAUGCGCAGAUAUCAGGAAGAACACCGAUGGCGAAGGCAGCUCUCUGGGACGGUACUGACGCUGAGACGCGAAAGCGUGGGGAGCGAACAGG
rnacentral:rRNA from 2 species